GGUACAUUUAUGCCCACGACUAUGACAGUGCCUAAAGGUACAUCCCCAUUGAUGUAGUGGCAUGCAGCUUGGCUUUAAUCGCUCGGCUUUGUCUGUUUCCUCUGUUUUCAACCAGUAACAAAAUAUAAUCAAUAUAAAUCACAUGAUAAAUCAGUAUUAUUUCAUUUUCAUUAAAAUGUCGUGAUUGAACGUAUUAUUGACUGCUGCG